CAUUAGCUAGUCGGUGAGGUAACGGCUCACCGAGGCGACGAUGUCUAGGGGUUCUGAGAGGAAGGUCCCCCACACUGGUACUGAGACACGGUCCAAACUCAUACGGGAGGCAGCAGUGAGGAAUAUUGGUCAAUGGCCGGAAGGCUGAACCAGCCAAGUCGCGUGAGGGAAUAAGGCCCUACGGGUCGUAAACCUCUUUUGUCAGGGAGCAAGGCCGCCCACGUGUGGACGGAAGGAGAGUACCUGGAGAAAAAGCAUCGGCUAACUCCGUGCCAGCAGCCGCGGUAAUACGGAGGAUGCGAGCGUUAUCCGGAUUUAUUGGGUUUAAAGGGUGCGUAGGCGGCCUGCCAAGUCAGCGGUAAAAUUGCGGGGCUCAACCCCGUACAGCCGUUGAAACUGCCGGGCUCGAGUGGGCGAGAAGUAUGCGGAAUGCGUGGUGUAGCGGUGAAAUGCAUAGAUAUCACGCAGAACCCCGAUUGCGAAGGCAGCAUACCGGCGCCCUACUGACGCUGAGGCACGAAAGUGCGGGGAUCAAACAGGAUUAGAUACCCUGGUAGUCCGCACAGUAAACGAUGAAUGCUAGCUGUCCGGGGGGAUUGACCCCUGGGUGGCACAGCGAAAGCGUUAAGCAUUCCACCUGGGGAGUACGCCGGCAACGGUGAAAC
rnacentral:rRNA from 1 species